UUAUGGCUCAGGAUGAACGCUAGCGACAGGCCUAACACAUGCAAGUCGAGGGGCAGCGCGGAAGAAGCUUGCUUUUCUGGCGGCGACCGGCGCACGGGUGCGUAACAGGUGUGCAAUCUGUCCAUAGUCGGGGGAUAGCCCAGCGAAAGCUGAAUUAAUACUCCAUGUGAAUCGAAGCCGCAUGACUUUGAUUUGAAACGCAAGGACUAUGGGUGAGCACGCUUCUGAUUAGGUAGUUGGUGGGGUAACGGCCCACCAAGCCGACGAUCAGUAGGGGUUCUGAGAGGAAGGUCCCCCACAUUGGAACUGAGACACGGUCCAAACUCCUACGGGAGGCAGCAGUGAGGAAUAUUGGUCAAUGGGCGAGAGCCUGAACCAGCCAAGUCGCGUGAAGGAUGAAGGUUCUAUGGAUUGUAAACUUCUUUUGUCCGAGGGUAAAAAAGGCCACGUGUGGCUUCUUGCAAGUAUCGGACGAAUAAGCAUCGGCUAACUCCGUGCCAGCCGCGGC
rnacentral:rRNA from 1 species